rnacentral:rRNA from 1 species
UUCUAGCUUGCUAGACAUGACUUUUUUAUUAUCUGGCCUCAAAUCAGGUAGGACUACCCGCUGAACUUAAGCAUAUCAAUAAGCGGAGGAAAAGAAACUAACAAGGAUUCCCCUAGUAACGGCGAGUGAAGCGGGAAGAGCUCAAAUUUGAAAUCUGGUGGCCUCAGGCUAUCCGAGUUGUAAUCUAUAGAAACAUUUUCCGCGUUGGCCCAUGUACAAGUCUCUUGGAAUAGAGCGUCAUAGAGGGUGAGAAUCCCGUCCUUGACAUGGACUACCAGUGCUUUGUGAUAUGUUUUCAACGAGUCGAGUUGUUUGGGAAUGCAGCUCAAAAUGGGUGGUAAAUUCCAUCUAAAGCUAAAUAUUGGCGAGAGACCGAUAGCGAACAAGUACCGUGAGGGAAAGAUGAAAAGCACUUUGGAAAGAGAGUUAAACAGUAUGUGAAAUUGUUGAAAGGGAAACGAUUGAAGUCAGUCGUGUCUAUUGGACUCAGCCGGUUCUGCCGGUGUACUUCCUUUAGAUGGGGUCAACAUCAGUUUUGAUCGCUGGAAAAGGGCAGGAGGAAUGUAGCACUCUCGGGUGAACUUAUAGCCUUCUGUCGCAUACAGUGGUUGGGACUGAGGAACGCAGCUUGCCUUUAUGGCCGGGAUUUAUCCACGUACAAGCUUAGGAUGU